GCUGAGGUGUCCCACAAUAGGACGAAACGGCCGUCC
rfam:Schistosoma margrebowiei strain Zambia genome assembly, scaffold: SMRZ_contig0006164